rnacentral:rRNA from 1 species
CAGAGGAGGCAAGCGUUGUUCGGAAUCACUGGGCUUAAAGCGCGUGUAGGCGGCGCGAUAAGUCUGUCGUGAAAUCCCCGGGCUCAACCUGGGAAUGGCGAUGGAUACUGGCAAGCUAGAGUGAGGUAGAGGAGAGUGGAAUUCCCGGUGUAGCAGUGAAAUGCGUAGAGAUCGGGAGGAACAUCAGUUGCGAAGGCGGCUCUCUGGACCAUCACUGACACUGAGGCACGAAAGCGUGGGGAGCAAACAGGAUUAGAUACCCUGGUAGUCCACGCCCUAAACGAUGCGAACUGGACGUUGGGCUCAAUUAGGAGCUCAGUGUCGAAGCUAACGCGUUAAGUUCGCCGCCUGGGGAGUACGGUCGCAAGACUG